rnacentral:rRNA from 1 species
UACGUAGGGUGCGAGCGUUGUCCGGAAUUACUGGGCGUAAAGAGCUCGUAGGUGGUUUGUCGCGUUGUUCGUGAAAACUCACAGCUCAACUGUGGGCGUGCGGGCGAUACGGGCAGACUGGAGUACUGCAGGGGAGACUGGAAUUCCUGGUGUAGCGGUGGAAUGCGCAGAUAUCAGGAGGAACACCCGUGGCGAAAGCGGCUCUCUGGGACGGUACUGACGCUGAGACGCGAAAGCGUGGGGAGCAAACAGG